CUUUGCGAUAUUCAAACUACAAGAUAAUACAUGAUUAAUUCAAAAGAAUGGGAAUCAAUAAGCAUUACAUUUGACAGAAUAGUUUGAAUGUUAAAAGGUUUAGGUAGAGCAUUCCAAUAACUUGGUUUGUGUGAUAGUUUCCUUACUGCUUCAUUAAUUGGAUAGAAUUCUGCAUGUUGGUGAAUAGUUUAUAUUUUCAAUCUUUGGUGGUUUAUCACGACAGCCAUGGUUGGAUACUAGUUGCCUAGCAACAUAUUUUUGCAUAUUUGUUGCUGUUCUU